AGAGAGAGACAUGCGCGCAUAUCAAUAAGCGGAGGAAAAGAAACUAACAAGGAUUCCCCUAGUAACGGCGAGUGAAGCGGGAAGAGCUCAAAUUUGAAAUCUUAAAGGGUUUCCCUUUACGAAUUGUAGUUUAAAGAAGUGUUUUCUGUUGAGGUUUUGGUAAAAGUUCUUUGGAAUAGGACAUCAUAGAGGGUGAGAAUCCCGUAUUUGACCUUUACUUUCAACUUUGUGAUACACUUUCAAAGAGUCGGAUUGUUUGGGAAUGCAGUCCAAAAUGGGUGGUAAAUUUCAUCUAAAGCUAAAUAUUGGCGAGAGACCGAUAGCGAACAAGUACCGUGAGGGAAAGAUGAAAAGAACUUUGAAAAGAGAGUUAAACAGUACGUGAAAUUGUCAAAAGGGAAGCGUUUGACACCAGUGUUGUUUUUCUGAAAAUCAAUUAAAGAACUGUUUAUGCUAAGUUGUUUAGACUUUAUCAGCUAACUGUUUAGUUUUGAGCUUUUCUUUAAUGCACUUUUCAGUUAACAAGUCAACAUCAAUUUCUUUUGCUGUAAAAAAGCUUGAGGAAGGUGGCUUGAGAUUCGUCUUAAGUGUUUAUAGCCUCUUGCCUAUGCAGUCGGAGAGAUUGAGGUCUGCAGCGUAGAUCCUUCGGGGCUAAAUGCAUUUGUGCUAAGUUAUAGCAUUUAUAGACAACUUGUUGACUAUGAUUUGUCUUGUAGCUUACUCGCUUAUGUUAUUUUACCUACGCUUAGGAUGUUGAGCCAUGUCUCUCUCU
rnacentral:rRNA from 1 species